CUACGCCCAAGGCCACCUCUGAACCGGAGCCAGAGAGAGGCACGCUGCAUCAAACUGCCCAGCGAGGCUCAAGAAUAUUCCAGUAGGCCCACACGGGAAUAAAACUACACAUCAGCAAGAUCAAAAAGCUUUUCUGUGCUCCUAGUUCAACUUACAAAGUACAACCGUUUCUUGCUCCUGUCACCAGGAAGGCCUCGUGUGCGUUCGUGGAGAAAAGCACGCAUGUCUCCCUAAACUCCCCUCUCUGCACUGGCCACUGGCGGGGAUAGUCUCAGAACGGAAACCGAGCACCGACCCACCCUCCGGCCAGGGACACAGAGGAGCGCCACGUCCGGGCCCACCUCUCCACCCCCAGACCUCCUCGGGGUGGCAGAAACCGACACAACAGCCCAGAGGACAGGGGGGCGCUGCCGGGCCCGCAGGGCCGCCUCCACUUCCGGGCCGUGGCAACGAGGCUGGCCAGCAACCGGCAAAGUCACCGGCGGAGCGUCCCAAGCGCCAGGGCUGAAAGACGGCUGGCGGGUCCGCCACGAGAGGAGUGCGUUCUGAUCGCGGACACGGCCCAGAAGCAGGCACUGGACCUCCCAGGGCUCUGACCAGCGCGCAGAAAAGCAGGGCCACCACAAGGGUCCGUCCCGAGCAAUGCGCAUUCUCCCUAGGAACCCAGCAAAACAGCACAGUCUGCAAAAAUGCACGUGUCACUCUCAAACAAGGUCUCCAGGGAGCCUGGCCCCUCCUGUCUGAGGUGGGGCGGGCAGGGGACAAGAAGCCUGAGGGGCUCUGGGCCAGCACUGCCUGCAGCCCUGACAGAGGUGGCGGUGGGGGCGACACCAGGCCCACGUGGACCCUGGCUCACAGGGACCCCGGAGAGGGCAGGACGGUGUGCGUGAGAGAGGCCUGAGGCGGGAGACCUGAGAAGAAUUCGGACCACACCAGCUUUUCCCUCUGAGAAAUGGGUCGACCCAGGCUCUGCUACCUCCGAGGUGCCGACGCAGGGAGAACACGGCCCACCCUACAACAGGGACCGGCCCGUAAAACAGAACGCCUCCCAGAUUUCCGAAACCGGUCACUAGGCCCAAAGACCCCCAAUGCCCCCUUCCUGACCGUCCAGGGACGGACUCCAGGCCCCCGGCACCAGCAGGAGAGGGGGGCUGGGAGCAGGCCCGCCCAGGACGGCGGGCCUGGCGGAUGGCGGCAGCCUGGGCUCAAGGCACCAAGGUACUCGCCAAGGCUGCCAGGCCAGUGUCCGGUGACAUCCCUGCACCGGGGGGGGGCCUGGCCUGCCACCUGA